GGGCCUGGAGCUGAGGGGUACAGCACUUGCCUAGCAUGUAACAGGCCCUGGGUUUGACUCCCAGCACCA
rnacentral:tRNA from 1 species